ensembl:snRNA U2 U2 spliceosomal RNA
AUCGCUUCUCGGCCUUUUGGCUAAGAUCAAGUGUAGUAUCUGUUCUUAUCAGUCUAAAUGUAGAGAGUUGUCAGUUUAUCUGCUUCUAAUCGGUCAGAUUUCACAUUUUAAGUAGGUAUUCAUUAAACAUAGUUCUCUACCUCAGGCUACUGGAUUUCCUAAGAGAUGACUGCACAGCUUCAUACAAUGGUUCCUUCU